rnacentral:rRNA from 1 species
UACAGAGGGUGCGAGCGUUAAUCGGAAUUACUGGGCGUAAAGCGCGCGUAGACGGUUUUGUAAGUCAGAUGUGAAAUCCCCGGGCUCAACCUGGGAACUGCAUUUGAGACUGCAUGGCUAGAGUAUGGAAGAGGGAAGUGGAAUUUCCGGUGUAGCGGUGAAAUGCGUAGAUAUCGGAAGGAACACCAGUGGCGAAAGCGACUUCCUGGUCCAAUACUGACGCUCAUGCACGAAAGCGUGGGGAGCAAACAGG